CUAAUAGAUGCAGUCGAGCGAACAGGAUGAAGUGCUUGCACUUCUGACGUUAGCGGCGAACGGGUGAGUAACACGUAAGGAAUCUACCUAUAAGCGGGGGAUAACAUUCGGAAACGGGUGCUAAUACCGCAUAAUAUCUUCUUCCGCAUGGAAGAAGAUUGAAAGACGGCUCUGCUGUCACUUAUAGAUGACCUUGCGGUGCAUUAGUUAGUUGGUGGGGUAACGGCCUACCAAGACGAUGAUGCAUAGCCGACCUGAGAGGGUGAUCGGCCACAUUGGGACUGAGACACGGCCCAAACUCCUACGGGAGGCAGCAGUAGGGAAUCUUCCGCAAUGGGCGAAAGCCUGACGGAGCAAUGCCGCGUGAGUGAAGAAGGCCUUCGGGUCGUAAAACUCUGUUAUAAGAGAAGAACAAAUUGUAGAGUAACUGCUACAGUCUUGACGGUAUCUUAUCAGAAAGCCACGGCUAACUACGUGCCAGCAGCCGCGGUAAUACGUAGGUGGCAAGCGUUGUCCGGAUUUAUUGGGCGUAAAGGGAGCGCAGGUGGUUUCUUAAGUCUGAUGUGAAAGCCCACGGCUUAACCGUGGAGGGUCAUUGGAAACUGGGAAACUUGAGUACAGAAGAGGAAUGUGGAACUCCAUGUGUAGCGGUGGAAUGCGUAGAUAUAUGGAAGAACACCAGUGGCGAAGGCGACAUUCUGGUCUGUUACUGACACUGAGGCUCGAAAGCGUGGGGAGCAAACAGGAUUAGAUACCCUGGUAGUCCACGCCGUAAACGAUGAGUGCUAGGUGUUGGAGGGUUUCCGCCCUUCAGUGCCGCAGUUAACGCAUUAAGCACUCCGCCU
rnacentral:rRNA from 1 species